rnacentral:rRNA from 1 species
AUUGAACGCUGGCGGCAGGCUUAACACAUGCAAGUCGAGCGGAAACGAUCCUAGCUUGCUAGGAGGCGUCGAGCGGCGGACGGGUGAGUAAUGCAUGGGAAUCUGCCCGAUAGUGGGGGACAACCUGGGGAAACUCAGGCUAAUACCGCAUACGUCCUACGGGAGAAAGCAGGGGAUCUUCGGACCUUGCGCUAUCGGAUGAGCCCAUGUCGGAUUAGCUUGUUGGUGAGGUAAUGGCUCACCAAGGCGACGAUCCGUAGCUGGUCUGAGAGGAUGAUCAGCCACACUGGGACUGAGACACGGCCCAGACUCCUACGGGAGGCAGCAGUGGGGAAUAUUGGACAAUGGGCGAAAGCCUGAUCCAGCCAUGCCGCGUGUGUGAAGAAGGCCUUCGGGUUGUAAAGCACUUUCAGCGAGGAAGAACGCCUUGGGAUUAAUACUCUCGAGGAAAGACAUCACUCGCAGAAGAAGCACCGGCUAACUCCGUGCCAGCCGCCGCCGUAAUAC